rnacentral:rRNA from 1 species
AGAGUUGAUCAUGGCUCAGAACGAACGCUGGCGGCAGGUCUAGGCAUGCAAGUCGAACGGAUGACAAGGGAGCUUGCUCCUGAAGUCAGUGGCGCACGAGUGAGUAACGCGUGGGAAACUGCCCUUCACUGGGGAAUAACGUUUGGAAACGAACGCUAAUACCGCAUACGCCCGCAAGGGGAAAGAUUUAUCGGUGAUGGAUGUGCCCGCGUUGGAUUAGCCAGUUGGUGGGGUAAUGGCCUACCAAAGCAAUGAUCCAUAGCUGGUCUGAGAGGACGAUCAGCCACGCUGGAACUGAGACACGGUCCAGACUCCUACGGGAGGCAGCAGCUAAGAAUAUUGGGCAAUGGAGGAAACUCUGACCCAGCCCAUGCCGCGUGAAUGAAGAAGGCCUUCGGGUUGUAAAGUUCUUUUAGUCAUGAAGAUGAUGACAGUAGUGACAGAAAAAGCACCGGCUAACUUCGUGCCAGCCGCGGC